GGCAUGGUGUAGUGGUUUGAGUGUUGGACUAUGACUCCGGAGACCAGGGUUCAAUUCCCAGCUUAGUCA
rnacentral:tRNA from 1 species